UGCUAGCCGCCGCGGUAAUACGGAGGGUGCGAGCGUUAAUCGGAAUUACUGGGCGUAAAGCGUGCGUAGGCGGUUAAUUAAGUCAGAUGUGAAAGCCCUGGGCUCAACCUGGGAAUUGCAUUUGAUACUGGUUAACUUGAGUAUGGGAGAGGGAAGUGGAAUUUCCGGUGUAGCGGUGAAAUGCGUAGAUAUCGGAAGGAACACCAGUGGCGAAGGCGACUUCCUGGACCAUUACUGACGCUGAGGUGCGAAAGCCAGGGUAGCAAACGGGAUUAGAUA
rnacentral:rRNA from 1 species